rnacentral:rRNA from 1 species
UUAGGUUAAGUUAUUAAGGGCGUAUGGUGGAUGCCUUGGCACUAGGAGCCGAUGAAGGACGUGACUAACUGCGAUAUGCUUCGGGGAGUUGUAAGUAAACUAUGAUCCGGAGAUUUCCGAAUGGGGAAACCUAACAGGUUUUACCGCCUGUUAUCACUAAGUGAAUUCAUAGCUUAGUUGAAGGUAGACGUGGGGAACUGAAACAUCUAAGUACCCACAGGAAGAGAAAGAAAUUCGAUUCCCUCAGUAGCGGCGAGCGAACCGGGAAGAGCCCAAACUAAGAAGCUUGCUUCUUAGGGUUGUAGGACUGAACAUUUGAGUUACCAAGAAAUGAAGUAGUUGAAUAAUCUGGGAAGAUUAGCCAAAGAGAGUGAUAGCCUCGUAAGCGAAACUUCGUUUCCUCAGUUCAGGAUCCUGAGUACGGCGGAACACGUGAAACUCCGUCGGAAUCCGGGAGGACCAUCUCCCAAGGCUAAAUACUACCUAGUGACCGAUAGUGAACCAGUACCGUGAG